rnacentral:lncRNA from 1 species
ACCGGAUAUUUAUCUCAGACUUUCAAAAUCCAAGAGACAUUUCGCUGCCAUUCAAAACCCGUCCACCCCAAGAAAGACCCUCUUUGUUGUGAGAUUUAAAGUUAAAUGUUAAAGAAAUCCUAUUAACAUAUUAUUCUAUAACAUUUACGCAGUAACACACUUCACAACAAACUCUGACUUUUAAUAUUUACAGGGAAUUUGUCUGAUAUUUGUUUUUUCUUCUCUUCUGUUAUUCUUCACUCACAACUUUACUGCUUCAUUUACGGAAAAAAAGAUAUAGACGAGGUAAUAUUUCAAAUAGUUAUUUUCUUCAUUCAAUCGUCUAUUUUCCGUUCAUCAAUAUAAUGUUUCUCUUUGUUUGAUCCAUCAUAUAUUCGUAGCACCUCCGACUAGACUCAUAGAACACCUUCACGUCAGCGAAGAUUUUUUUAAUUAAAUAUUAAAUUAAAACGGUCAGUGCUAUAAUUAUUUACAGUAAUACUUCGCUUUACGAGUUUUAUCUCUCUCUAUAUAAAGCUGAAGUUGUCUGUGUGUGGCAGGUUUGGUAGCCUUCAACUAACACUAUCUCCUCUGAGACCCUGCAGCUCAAGUUGACCAAAAUUGAGAGUAUGAUAGAAGAAGGCUUGCUCUUCCUUCCGUAGAAGAAAAAUUCAAAUCGGACCAUGUUAACACCAAAAAUUAUUUACAUCAAAAAGGUGCUUUUUUUUCUAUGAAAAUCCCUAUUUUUUACGAUUUUUCGACUGCUGUGUCGCCAGUUUUCGGUGUAUUUCAACCAGAAAAAUGUUCACUUAAAGAGAAUAACAAGCUACAUAAUGCAAAAUUUUUACUUUUCAAAAAUUCUAACUCUAAAGGGUCGAAACAAACCCGAGCAACGCCGGGCGAUACUGCUAGUUCUAUAAUUAAUAUAAAAAUGUUAAACAGUCAUUAUGUGUGUGGCAACAUUGGUUCUGACACGUCUACACAGUUGCAGAGAGCGACGGAAUAAAAUGACAGGAUAAAAUUUCAAUUUUACCAAAAUUUAAAUGCCUUAGUUGCACGUGCGCUUUGUUGAAAGAGAUUGUAAGCUAAUUCUUCGUGCUCUGUAUUUUAUAUUGUGUACGUGUUUUUACUAUUUUCGGCAUUUUUAAAAAACCCACCCAAUAUGUCUAAACGAAAGUGUACAACGGACACCGACGGGAACAAAAAGAAACGGAAAGCCAUCACUUUAAAAACAAAGUAUGAAAUUGUAAAAAUGCACGAUGGUGGUACAACCGUGAAGAACAUUUGUGACAGGUUUUCACUUAAAUCGUCAACUGUCUGCACGAUUCUCAAAGAAAAACAAAAAUAUUUAUCUCAGGUGAGAAAUGCGCAGCCUUUGCAAUCGACGUGGUCUCGUAAAAGAGAUGCUGGAAGCAUUAUUCCGGAAAUGGAAAGACUUGUAAAUGCAUGGAUAACUGACACGACGCAACGAAUGCAGAUAUGAAUGUCAAUCAAGCGUCGAUCCGCAGCAAAGCUUUGUCCCUUUUCAAUCUGCUCAAAGAAAUGAAAGGCGACACAACCGAAACUUUUGUUGCGAGCAGAGGAUGGUUUGAGCGAUUUAAAAAUCGACAUGGGUGGCAUUCGGUCAGAGUGCAAGGCAAAGCACCAAACGCUGAUGUCGAUCCAGCAAAAACCUUUACAGAAACAUUGGCAGGAACGAUCGAAGAAGGGGGCUACGUGCCACAACUGAUUUUUAAUGUCAGUGAAACAGGACUUUUCUGGAAACGUCUGCCAUCCAAGAGCUCCAUUGUUAAGGAAGAAUCUGCACUGCCUGGUUUCAACGUUGCAAAAGAUCGACUGACAUUAUUAUUUGGAGGAAAUGCAUCUGGGGAUUUAAAAUUAAAACCAAUGCUAGUUUAUCGAACGGAAAACCCUAGGGCACUCAAAGGUAUCUUAAAAAGUACUCUUCCAGUCUUGUGGAAAUCUAAUGAAAAAGCUUGGGUUACGGCAACAUUAUUUGAAGAAUGGUUUUCAUACCACUUUGUACCGGAAGUUAAGAAAUAUUGUGAUAAGAACCAACUUCCAUUUCAUGCAAUGUUGAUUAUUAACAAUGCACCCAGCCACCCUCCAAUUCUGCAACAUCUCCAUCCUAAUGUCAAAGUUGUUUUUUUGCCUCUGGAUACAUCACUUUUGCAACCAAUGGACCAGGGUGUUAUUGCAGGUUUUAAAGCUCAUUAUUUACGUUAUACAUUUGCGAUGCUGAAUGAAGAAACGGUCAAAGAAGGGGGACCUACUGUAAUGGAAUUCUGGGAAAGUUACAACAUUUAUACUGCAGUGAAAAUCAUAAGAAAAGCAUGGGAUGAUAUCACUGAAAAGAAUAUGAAGAGUGCUUGGAAAAAACUUUGCCCUCAAUUUCUUAAUGAUUCUGAGGAUUUUGAAUCACUACAAGAAAGUGUUCAAAAAGAAACAGAAGAAAUUGUAAAACUGGCAAAUGAAUUGAAUCUCAACGUGUCAGCAAGUGACAUAGAUGAGCUGCUUCGAUCACAUAGUAACGAGCUUACUAACGAAGAACUUGUAGCAAUGCAAGAGGAGGCAACAGCAGAAAAGGAAACGGACACUGUUGAUGAAACGUCAGUUAAUGCGUUCACGUUGCAAGGACUCGCAGAAGCAUUUCAGCAUUUGGAUAAAGCGUUGGACAUUUUUCAAAGACAAGAUCCAAAUUUUGAACGAAGUGCAAAAGUUUUUACUGCCAUAACAAAUGCUUCUGCAUGUUACCGAGAAAUUUAUAAAGAGCAAAAAAAUGCUUCUUCUUAGCAAACAACUCUAGACUUGUUUUCUAAAAAAAGAAAUCUACAAGUCUGUCUUUGGGUGCUUGUGAAUCAGCGAUCGUGUCUGCAAGUGAUGGUGUGUGUGUGAGUGAAAGUGAUUCAGAAAACAAUUAUAUUUUCUAAUAAAUGAUCCAGACAUUCUUUUUACUUUCCAUUCUGCUGUUGUUUUAUUGCCAUUUAUUUGCGAGUAUUUACUCUUUUACUUGUUUCAGUCAUGUGACUGUGGCCAUGCUGGAGCACCACCUUUUUAGUUGAGCAAAUCGACCCCAGGACUUAUUCUAUCGGUCUCUUUUUGCCGAACUGCUAAGUGACGGGGACGUAAACACACCAGCAUCGGUUGUCAAGCGAUGUUGGGGGGGAGGGGACAAACGCAGACACACAAACAUAUGCACAUACAUAUAUAUAUACGUAUAUACGACGGGCAACUUUCUUACCUUCCUGUGAUUCCACUAAAGUGUUAGUACAGAGUGUAAUAUGAAAUUAAAUAAUUGACAAAGGAACAGGAAAUUAUGCAAUGAACUUGAUGAGCUUACAGCUGCUGCUACUAUAAGAUGCAGUACAUUCAGAGCUGGGUCCUUCUGCAUCCGCUCAUAGCUUCCAAAAUGAAGUGCAACUUUAUUUGGGAAAACAUUUACGUAUAUGGAAAAGAACAUCACCGAAUUAAAUAAAAAAUAUUGUUUUGGUGAACCUGUCUACAAUGUUGUUUCAGGCUGUCUGCUGAUGCAGAUUGUUUUCUAUACCCACUACAAGUAGAUGUGGAGACGCAAUGGCCCAGUGGUUAGGGCAGCAGACUCGCGGUUUUGAUUCCCAGACCGGGCGUUGUGAGUGUUUAUUGAGCGAAAACACCUAAAAGCUCCACGAGGCUCUGGCAGGGGAUGGUGGUGAUCCCUGCUGUACUCUUUCACCACAACUUUCUCUCACUCUUACUUCCUGUUUCUGUUGUACCUGUAUUUCAAGGGGCCGGCCUUGUCACGCUGAAUAUCCCCGAGAACUACGUUAAGGGUACACGUGUCUGUGGAGUGCUCAGCCACUUACAUGUUAAUUUCACGAGCAGGCUGUUCCGUUGAUCGGAUCAACUGGAACCCUCAUCGUCGUAACCGACGGAGUGCUUCCACCACAAGUAGAUAUGCUGCAUAAUGCAUAAUUAACAACUACUUUCUGUUUGUGGUUUCUCAGAUAACUCCUAAGGCCUGUCUUACUCAGACAGAUGUAAACAUAAUUUGUUACAUGUUAAAUUGGGCUGUACGCCAACACAUUCAGGUAAAUCAACAUUAAGCCCCUAACAAACAUUUCUCUUGAGCUUUUCAUACUUGAUACAAUUUUGUUUGGAUUCUUUCCUUCCAUCAUACAGUACUUUCCUUCAAGCUGAACAAUCUAGAAUGUGAUUUUCUCAUCCAUUUCCCAAGAUUUUGACCUUCUCCAGUGUAUUCUUCAUGCAAUCUUUAUACCUUAAUUUCAGUCUGUGGGCUGGUCCUUAUAUUUGUCCCCCCCCACCACCACUUAACAACCAGUGUCUGUGUAUUUACGUCUUCAUAACUUAGUGGUUUGGCAAAAGAGACCAGGAGAAUAAAUGCCAAGCUUU